CAUUUUCUCUCAACACAACACACCUCUCUCUCUCACUCCCUCACUCUCCCACCGGCACCUUCACUUCUCAUCACCUCAACCAUCUUUUUCCGGCAAAGUAUACCGGAAAACUCCAUAAGAAUAAGGUUCUAACUAAUCUCCUUUGGAGCUUGGAGAGUUAGGCUUUUUGCGGGUUGCAAGAGUAGACAACAAUCUUUUGAGACAGUUUUUUGGUGGCUAAUAGUAGUUAGACUAACUACUGAUGGAGGCUGAACUUUUGUAAUGGAGAUAUUAGAUGUUGUACAUCUUAGAAUAGGCUUGACUCAUUCUUUUGUAUAUUAUAGUGGUUGUGACUUUAUUUCCACUGAUGGGACAAGCUGUUGAUAUGUAAUUAUUUAUUCAAACCUCUAUUAUUUUG